UGUAAAUCAGAUUUGCAUUGACAGCUUUAGUGAUUCUGAUGGUCUCAGAAUAGAGCAGCUCCGUCUCCAGAGACCAUGUUCAAACCCCAAGAGCUUCAGUUCACAUUUACUGCUAAACGCAGCUGUUCUCAACUAUUACAAUCCAUCAUAACUAUUUUCCAUAUAAGUCUUAAUGAAAUUGCUCAUUAUUGUUUUUGAGUUUGGCUCAAAAUAACACAAAACAUAAUAAGCAUCUAUUAUUAGCAAAGCUGUUGCUUUACAAUCACAAUGGCAUUAUGGUUUAUCUGCUGUCUUCAGGUAAAUGAUCUGGAGUGUGUUUGCAUAUUGAUCAGAUGCUUCAGUGCUCUGAGAGUGUUUAUAGUGCUGUGAGUUUAACACUUCAUCACUGACACACACAACAAUCUUCAUCAACAUGACCUUCAUCAUCAUCUUCAUCUGGACUCUCACAGCGUUUGCUCAAGAGUGUAGAGGACAGAUCACCGUCACUCAGAGUCCCUCAACGACAGCAGCUCGACCAGAAGAAACAGUCAAAAUCAACUGUAGAACCAGCAGAGAUGUGUCUAGUUAUUCUGGGACAUACUAUUUCAGCUGGUACUUACAGAAACCUGGAGAAGCUCCUAAACUCCUGAUUUAUUGGGCAAACCGCCUCCAGUCAGGAACUCCAUCUAGAUUCAGUGGCAGUGGAUCUAACAGUGAUUUCACUCUGACCAUCAGUGGAGUCCAGACUGAAGAUGCUGGACAUUAUUACUGUCAGAGUUUUAAUUGCAGAACAAAUUCUUAUGGUGGCUGUGUGGGUGAUUAUGUGUUCACACAGUGAUAAAGAGUCGUACAAAAACCUCCGUCAGUCAGAGUCACAGAGACUGAACUGAUCCUGCAGCUGCUCAAACACUAUCACUCACUACUGACACACAGAGACAAACACAGCAACUACACAUGAGCUCAGAACUGAGUUAGGA